UACAGAGGGUGCAAGCGUUGUUCGGAAUUAUUGGGCGUAAAGCGCGUGUAGGCGGCUUUGCAAGUCGGAUGUGAAAGCCCUCGGCUCAACCGAGGAAGUGCGCCCGAAACUGCAGAGCUUGAGUACCGGAGAGGAUGGCGGAAUUCCCCAAGUAGAGGUGAAAUUCGUAGAUAUGGGGAGGAACACCGGUGGCGAAGGCGGCCAUCUGGACGGAUACUGACGCUGAGACGCGAAAGCGUGGGUAGCAAACAGG
rnacentral:rRNA from 1 species